AGUGAACGCUGGCGGUAGGCCUAACACAUGCAAGUCGAACGGCAGCACAGUAAGAGCUUGCUCUUACGGGUGGCGAGUCGCGGACGUGUGAGGAAUGCAUCGUAAUCUACAUUUUCGUGGAGGAUAACGUAGGGAAAGUUACGCUAAUACCGCAUACGCCCUACGAGUGAAAGCAGGGGAUAUUCUGACCUUGUGCGAAUGAAUUAGCCGAUGUCGGAUUAGCUAGUUGGCGGGGUAAAGGCCCACCAAGGCGACGAUCCGUAGCUGGUCUGAGAGGAUGAUCAGCCACACUGGAACUGAGACACGGUCCAGACUCCUACGGGAGGCAGCAGUGGGGAAUAUUGGACAAUGGGCGCAAGCCUGAUCCAGCCAUACCGCGUGGGUGAAGAAGGCCUUCGGGUUGUAAAGCCCUUUUGUUGGGAAAGAAAAGCAGCAGGUUAAUACCCCGCUGUUCUGACGGUACCCAAAGAAUAAGCACCGGCUAACUUCGUG
rnacentral:rRNA from 1 species